GUGCUGGGAGCAGGCAAAGGGAUCAGUUCCUCCUCAAGUGAAAUUGGGCAGAUGGAUCAUUUCAAAUCUGGAAGACGGUUGGUGUUCCUGGUACUGGAUGGACAGCGUAGCGGCACUGGUCUGGAACCCAAGUUGAGGACCAAUCACCCGUGUUACAGGUAUCCAACAGGGCAUUUCCCUGCCACCCCCUAUUGUUUGAUUUCACCUUGAGAACGU